UGGCUCAGAGGUUAAGAGCACUGGCUGCCCUUCCAGAGGUCCUGAGUUCAAUUCUCAG
rnacentral:tRNA from 1 species